UUUAAAAUAACAUUUUAAGAAGACACAUUGUAGAAAUAGGCGGGGUUUAUGACUGCUUAUUUAUUUAUGUAUGUAUGUAUGUAUGUGUGAUGCGGUUAGGAAACGAGCAACAUAUUAGAAAUGCAAGCAACGCCUCCUUAAUGAACAUGUUGCAAACCAUAAAACAGAUUUGCAAAUAAUUUCAAGAAGUGAACAAGAAAAGCAAGUUGUGUGCACUGGCAAUUAUUUUUUUGUAGCUAGUGUACUUAACGGUCGUGGUGUCGAGAUAAAGUAGGUGAAUGUUGUCUCGCGGCAAAGCGAGGAAAGAACGGUGCGUAGUUGCUAGUAAGCGAGCCAACAAAACUAACGUUUGUUUCAAGAUCUAUGUCAAAAACAGUCCCUUUGUAGCCCUGCAACCUCCAGAUGAUAAAUAUGAGCGAUGGUAUAAAAUCCCCGUCAGUUUGAAAAAGAAAGCGGCACAGUUGAUGCAUGUAUCUGCCUUUUGGUAUCACAUUCUGCUUUGUCGAGAAUCACAACACCUCAUGCUGGGCUGUGCAAGUGGGCUUCCUAGAUUCAAAUUAUUAGAAGAUCAGACAAGGCAUAUGAUCUGGAUAAGCAAUACGUUUAACUUGCAUGUGCUGGAGGUCCUGGAUGACACGAUAUGCUGGCUGGAGCAGACAGGAGAGCCCCGCAUCAAGCAGCAGGUUCAGGAGCUGGGCCCCAGAGGGAACUGCUUUGCUGCUCUUCAACUCUUCUUUGCUGAGUAUGCUCACUAUACACAGGCCAUGGGAGUCAGUAGAAAAAAAUGUAUGCGAGAGCUUGCACAGGGCCCCUGCCAGUGGUUUAUUGAGAAAGGUGAAGAGAUGAAGGCUGAAGGAAGUGAUCAGUUUCAGGAAAAGAAGUGAUGCAGCAGUCAAGUAUUACUCAAAAGUCAAAUAUCAAUGCCGAUACCUCGGCUGAGAUGGAGGUGCAGGAUGCCGGAGAGAGACUUGGGGCUGUGGUCGGAACAGGUGGAACUAGCAUCCCAACAGGGAGAUAGUGAGACAGCUGGUUACAUACAGGGCCCAGGUUCGGAUGAUGACUUGGUGUCUCUGGACGGCUCCAGGGGGGUUCUCAGGUGGCGAAGAGGACUUAGUUCGGGAACAGCCACCUCCUCAUGCUAUCUAACACAUAGUCCAUAGAACUGUGCCGCACGGCGGCUUUGUGUUUGAAGGUGAAGUGGCUGUGCCCAGCCCCGCGGCUGAAGUCUUCAAGAUUCGAUGGAAAGUGCCUGCUCCCUGUGACUGCCAUAGUCAAGCACCACCAUCCCAUUUCCAGAUUUUGUAGAAGAAUUGACAACAACCUGGUCCAACCUGCAUUCAGCUAACCUGAUGCAGCAUGGGUGUGCCAUCUUCAUGGAUCUUGAAGGGAUGUAUCAGGCAGGGCUGGUGCACCCGCCUCUGGUGGAUGGCAAGCUAGCUGGCUACCUAGCUUUGUUGACUAACAAGGGAGUGAGUUAUGAGAAUCCUACGCUCUCUAACAGGAACAGUCUCUUUUCGGCUGCUCAGCUGGAAAAGGUUUAUCGUGCAGAAUGGGUGGCUGCCCAAUCCUUUUCAUCUGUCACUAUACUGCAGGUCUACCUGACAGAGUUGCUGGAGGAGCUGGGCACGGAUUUGGCCGCAGUAGAGCCCCAUGGGUGGCACACCCUCGCUACAUAUUCGUCGCCAGACCCAAGGGCUCCAGGUCAUCUACAAGUCCAUGCUAGGUCCUUUGGGGGGCACCUUCCGGAAGGCCGACAGGCAGUGCUCCGCCAGCUAAGCGAGCUGCCCCGGGGGCCGAGCCGGGCACCAGGUCGGACCAGCCUGGUUCCCAGGCGCAAUGCCUGUCUGCCUGGUACAAGCGCGGCAUUGCUUCCAGGGGCGAAGUGAGAGAUGGUCCUGCCACGGUGCAUCUAGCUCAGUGUGGCACGGCAUUGGGUCCUCCCUUGUCAGCUGCCCCAAACAUCUGUGGUGACAACAGUACUCCCAUGACCUAUCGGAGUACAUCACAGAUGGCCGAAGCCCCCCCCCGAACUCAGAAUGGACCAGGAUUCAAACAAACAUUUGCACCGAAAUACAUUGUUUCAACCCCAUUGUUUUCAGGUUUCAGGAGUUUUGUGAGUUCAAUAAAACAUGUCCCUCCACAUUCAGACAAGGUUUUCAAGAGUGGUGGAGGUAAAAAAAAUCUCCCAGUCAUGCUCCCUCAGAUGGAGGUUACGGGAGACUCUAUGCCUGCUCCAAUCAGUGUUGCGCAUGUGCCGUUUCGCCCCGGAUAAAGAGAAAAUGACGUUGGGGCACAGGCUAUAAUUCGUUGUACGCCCCCCAAGUUUUUGCAGUGUCAUCAUGUCGACUGUUCCCCUGGCCUCAGCGCCAGUAGUAAGUGAGAAAAUAUCCUCCCUGCUCCAGAAAUGGGCAAUACGAGUGGUUCCUCAGUCGGAAGCCCAGUACGGCUGGUACAGACGGUAUUUCCUGGUUCUGAACAGGGACGGGGGUUUACGCCCCAUUCUAGACAUGCGUGCCCUGAACAAACGUCUCAGAGUUCGCAAAUUCAAGAUGCUCACAAACCAGCGGCUGUUGCGAUCCGUGCGUCCCGGCAAUUGGUUCAUCACCAUCGACCUAAAGGAUGGUACUUCCACACAGAAAGUUCCUGCGAUUCCAUUCCAAGAUGAUAGACACGUUUUUGGUACUCCCAUUCGGCUUGUUUUCAUUCGGCUUGUUCCUCUCACAUUUCAAAGGUGGGGGAAGAAGCUCUGGCACCCUUGAGCGGCCAGGGGCUAAGGGUAUUGGCUAGUAGCAGCAGAGUCUAGGGAAUGAAUAGUGUUACACACAUCCAGGGUGGAGCAGUGCUCUCUUCAGGAGUGGAGACUACACCAGUGGGUGGUUGGCCAGAUAUGGGAGAAAGUCGGCAGGGCAGACGUAGAUUUUUACGCAUCAUGAGAUAAGUGUUGUUUAUUUUUAAGCCUUCCCAGUUUCUGUUUUGAUAAUUCAGUUUGAGGUAAAGCAAUCUCUAAGCAGCGGUUACCUCAUUGGAUUGUGGAGGCAUAUACAGUGCAUUCAGAAAGUAUUCAGACCCCUACCCUUAUUCCACGUUUUGUUACGUUAUAGAGCUUUGCACACUCUUGGCAUGCUCUCAACCAGCUUCACCUGGAAUGCUUUUCCCACUGUCUUGAAGGAGUUUUCACAAAUACGGUGCACUUGUUGGCUGCUUUUCCUUCAACAGGUGUGUUGGAUCAUUGUCCUGUUGAAAAACAAAUGAUGGUCCCACUAAGCGCAAGCCAGAUGGGAUGGCAUAUCGCUGCAGAAUGCUAUGGUAGCCAUGCUGGUUAAGUGUGUCUUGAAUUCUAAAUAAAUCACUGACAGUGUCACCAGCAAAGCACCCCACAAACCACACCUCUUCCAUGCUUCACAGUGGGAACCACACAUGUAGAAAUCAUCCGUUCACCUACUCUCCGUCUCACAAAGACACGGUGGUUGGAACCAAGAAUUUCAAAUUUGGACUCAUCAGACCAAAGGACAGAUUUUCACUGGUCUAAUGUCCAUUGCUAGUUUUUUUUUGACCCAUGCAAGUCUCUUAUUGGUGUCCUUUUUAAUAGUAGUCUCUUUGUAGUAAUUCCAGUAAUAAGGCCUGAUUCACACAGUCUCCUCUGAACAGUUGAUGUUGAGAUGUCUGUUGCUUGAACUCUGUGAAGCCUUUACUUGGCCUGCAAUUUCUGAGGCUGGUAACUCUAAUAAACUUAUCUUCUGCAGCAGAGGUAACUCUGGGUCUUCCUUUCCUGUGGCGGUCCUCAUGAGAGCCAUUUUCAUCAUAGCGCUGGAUGGUUUUUGCAACUGCACUUGAAAAAACUUGAAAAAGUUCUUGAAAUGUUCUGUAUUGAAUGACCUUCAUGUCUUUAAAGUGAUGAUGGACUGUCCUUUACAUUUGCUUAUUUGAGCUGUUCUUGCAAUAAUAUGGACUUGGUAUUUUACCAAAUAGUGCUAUCUUCUGUAUACCACCCCUGCCUUGUCACAACACAACUGAUUGGCUCAAAUUCCUUAAGAAGGAAAUCAAUUCCGCAAAUUAACUUUCAACAAGGCAUAACUGAUAAUUGAAAUGCAUUCCAGGUGACUACCUCAUGAAGCUGGUUGAGAGAAUGCCAAUAGUGUGUAAAGUUGUCAUCAAGGCAAAGGGUGGCUGCUUGGAAGAAUCUCAAAUAGAAAAUAUAUUUUGAUUUGUUUAACACUUUUUUUGGUUACAACAUGAUUACAUAUGUGUUAUUUCAUAGUUCUGAUGUCUUCACUAUUAUUCUACAAUGUAGAAAAUAGUAAAAAUAAAGAAAAACCCUUGAAUGAG